AUUGAACGCUGGCGGCGUGCCUAACACAUGCAAGUCGAGCGGUAACAGGUGUAGCAAUACAUGCUGACGAGCGGCGAACGGGUGAGUAAUGCUUCGGAAUCUACCCAAUGGUGGGGAAUAACCAGCCGAAAGGUUGGCUAAUACCGCACUACGUCCCACGGGAGAAAGCAGGGGAUCGCAAGACCUUGCGCCAAUGGAUGAGCCGAAGUCGGAUUAGCUAGUUGGAGGGUAACGGCCUACCAAGGCGACGAUCCGUAGCUGGUCUGAGAGGACGACCAGCCACACUGGGACUGAGACACGGCCCAGACUCCUACGGGAGGCAGCAGUGGGGAAUAUUGGACAAUGGGGGAAACCCUGAUCCAGCGACGCCGCGUGUGUGAAGAAGGCCUGCGGGUUGU
rnacentral:rRNA from 1 species